GGGUCAGCGGCUCCUGUGGCAUCUGGCCAAGGACAAUGUGCUGAGAAGUUUCCCCUGAAAAAAUCAGAAACUAAACUCACCUCAGGAGAGGCCCCUGCACCCUCCAAGAGGAAGUGGGAGUCACGUGAGGCUCGUCUUGAUUGGGGUUCCUGGAGAGGAGGCCCCCUCUCCCUAGGUGGGGCUCCUGUUUCCCCUGCUCUGCUCUGAGGUCCCCAGGGUCCAGUCCCCUCCCCACCGUAUCCUGGAGCUUGUCAAGGCCACCAGAGACCUGCUCCCUGUGCCGUCUCAGACUGGACUCUGGGGUCUCCGGUGCCUCCUCUGAUUCUGCACCUCGGUGCAGCCUCUGGCCUGGCUGCGCUCUGAGGAGCUCCCUGUGGCCACCGAGCCCUUGGAACGCGGCCAGUUCCAUUCUCAAACUGCUGUGAGUGCAAAGCUCAUGCUGGAUUUUGAAGAUUUGGUGAGAAAAAAAAUUUCUUUGUAAAAUGUCAGUAUUUCAUCAAUAGUAUAUUUUGUUGAUGAUAUGUUGAGAAACUAUUUUGGAUAUGUUUGUUUAAGUAGAUUGCUGGUGUGAGCCACCGCGCCCGGCCUGUCUUCUUCUUCCUAAGUAAGUGAAGGAAAUAAUGUAUACAGUGGUCCAUUUCCAAGACAAAGUGCCUUAAAUCAGCUUAGGUCAGCAAACUACAGAAGAAACAGGAUAUACUAGGCCCCUGCUUGGAUAGCUGAUGCCUUCUUGUCAGCCUUCUCCCUCCCCUUCUCCCUCCACUUAGUUGCCCUUACCCAAACCAGGGAAGUUUAGUCUAAGAUAAAAGUUUACUAGCCUGCAAAA
rnacentral:lncRNA from 1 species